rnacentral:rRNA from 1 species
UACGUAGGGUGCAAGCGUUGUCCGGAAUUAUUGGGCGUAAAGAGCUUGUAGGCGGUUUGUCGCGUCUGCUGUGAAAUUUCGGGGCUCAACCCCGAACUUGCAGUGGGUACGGGCAGACUAGAGUGUGGUAGGGGAGACUGGAAUUCCUGGUGUAGCGGUGGAAUGCGCAGAUAUCAGGAGGAACACCGAUGGCGAAGGCAGAUCUCUGGGCCGUAACUGACGCUGAGGAGCGAAAGCGUGGGGAGCGAACAGG